rnacentral:rRNA from 1 species
CAGGGAUUGCCUUAGUAACUGCGAGUGAAGCGGCAAAAGCUCAAAUUUUAAAUCUGGCACCUUUGGUGUCCGAGUUGUAAUUUGGAGAGAUAUCUUCGGUUUGAACGCUGUCCGAAGUUCCUUGGAACAGGACGUCACAGAGGGUGAGAAUCCCGUAUGUGGAUGGCUGUUUCUUUCCAUGUGAAGUGUCUUCGACGAGUCGAGUUGUUUGGGAAUGCAGCUCAAAACGGGUGGUAAAUGUCAUCUAAAGCUAAAUAUUGGCGAGAGACCGAUAGCGCACAAGUAGAGUGAUCGAAAGAUGAAAAGCACUUUGAAAAGAGAGUUAAAAAGUACGUGAAAUUGUUGAAAGGGAAGCGCUCGAGACCAGACUCAAUCUGUGGUGAUCAACAGUGCUUUUGUACUGUGCACUUGCCACGGUUUGGGACAGCAUCGGUUUGGAUGACGGGAUAAAGACCUGAGGAACGUAGCUCUCUUUGGGGAGUGUUAUAGCCACAGGUGUAAUGCCGUCAAUCCAGACCGAGGACCGCGCUUCUGCUAGGAUGCUGUCUUAAUGGUCUUCAGCGACCCGUCUUGAAACACGGACCAAGGAGUCUAACAUCUAUGCGAGUGUUCGGGUGGAAAACCCUUGCGCAAAAUGAAAGUGAACGGAGGUGGGAACCUUUCAGGGGCACCAUCGACCGAUCCUGAUGUCUUCGGAUGGAUUUGAGUAAGAGCAUAGCUGUUAGGACCCGAAAGAUGGUGAACUAUGCCUGAAUAGGGUGAAGCCAGAGGAAACUCUGGUGGAGGCUCGCAGCGGUUCUGACGUGCAAAUCGAUCGUCAAAUUUGGGUAUAGGGGCGAAAGACUAAUCGAACCAU